CCUCACUUCCAUAGGAAAAUCUUAAGUGACAAUCAUAAUAAGGAGAACUUGUGCAACACAGUGUCAGAGAAUCGGAGCCAAAAGAUUUUGAUACAACCAACUUUCCUUCUAACACAUACUAUUUCUGUUGACAUCUAUCUAUUGUAGCCACUUCAUCCUUUCUUUCUCCCUUUCCUUCAUAUAGGAUAUUGUUCCUCACCUUGCCUAUUCAUAAAAUUCGAAUAAUUGAUUACUGAUUUUGUCCUUGUUAAUGUUCUGUUUCGCUGUUAUCCGUGGAAGGAUGUAAAACAAGUUCAAUAAUACGUUCCAGACUGAACAUGGAUGGAGUGCUGCUGUGGUCAGCUGUAUUAUAAUCUGUUCUGCAGCUGUAGGACUGAUAAUUGCUGAUCUUGAAUUUCAGAAGUGUAUUUCUGACAAAAAGUGUCUUUUUUUUUUCUUCUUGCAGAAUACACUCUGAGAAGGACUCAGAAACAGGGCAUUUGGAACGAAGAACUCAAACUGCAUUGUAGGCUGAACUAAUGCCUGAGAUUUAAAUAUAUGUGGGAACUAUAGAGUUCUGAAGCUGAACGUGAUAAGCCUGGAUCUGAUGUGGAACGUAAAGAAAUGACAAAACUGGAUGCCAAGAGGUGUUUUCAGCAGCAGUAUUGCCAGUACACCGAAGAAACCAGAGAGACAAGCGGGAAAAUGGGCUACUGAGAACUGGGCAUAGUCCAGAAAACUGGUGGCAAUGGCUUGGAAAUGCACAGAAGCAUAUAAUCUCUCAAAUCAAGCUUCUAAUGGAAACUGGUGCUUUUGUCCUGAACUGGUUAUUUUGGAUGACAAAUGUGAGGCAGUGAUCAGCUGAUUUCUGUCAUCACCUGAGGGAGCAGAGCUCUGUGGGUGCUGAAGUGCACUCAGAACACAGGAGAGCAGUCACCACGAGUUAUAGGGAGACCUCAGGUCA
rnacentral:lncRNA from 1 species